rnacentral:rRNA from 1 species
UGAGGAAUUUUGCGCAAUGGGAGCAAUCCUGACGCAGCAACGCCGCGUGGGUGAUGAAGGUUUUCGGAUCGUAAAGCUCUGUUGUUAGGGAAGAACAAGUACCGUUCGAAUAGGGCGGUACCUUGACGGUACCUAACCAGAAAGCCACGGCUAACUACGUGCCAGCAGCCGCGGUAAUACGUAGGUGGCAAGCGUUGUCCGGAAUUAUUGGGCGUAAAGGGCUCGCAGGCGGUUUCUUAAGUCUGAUGUGAAAGCCCCCGGCUCAACCGGGGAGGGUCAUUGGAAACUGGGGAACUUGAGUGCAGAAGAGGAGAGUGGAAUUCCACGUGUAGCGGUGAAAUGCGUAGAGAUGUGGAGGAACACCAGUGGCGAAGGCGACUCUCUGGACUGUAACUGACGCUGAGGCUCGAAAGCGUGGGGAGCAAACA